rnacentral:lncRNA from 1 species
CUAGAUAUUCAACUCUCCCUCCUCCACUUCCCAAACUCACAGCCGUCUCUCCUCUACUUCUUCUAUUUUUAUUCCUCGUAUGAACCAACCCUAAACUCCUCUUAUUUUUUCUUCACUAAUCUUCUCUGCCUCCAACUCAAAUCACUACUCCGAAACUCAAAUCUCCGCUCGAAUCUCCCCUCUCAAAAACACCAACAACAAAUCUCAAAUAUGAUAUCCUCCUCCUGGAAAUUAAAUCUCCACUCUCAAAUCCAUCAUCCUCCUCCCCAAAAUCUCUCCACAACUUGAACAAGUUGAUGGGGUUUCAACCGGACAAAGAAAGAGAAGUAAAAAAGAGCAGUUACAAGUAUUUCGACGGAAAGAAGACACCGAGGUGGUUGACGGCUAGGGUUACAUUGGCUAGAAUUCUUCUAUUCUGGAUUGGAUAUGAUUUUAAUGAUGUUUAUGUGUAUUGUGAUAUAGAUAUGAAAUUUUGUAUUUUGUCUUCUGUGUUAGAUCUGUAAUUAACGGAUACGCUUGUUCUUAUAUUAGUGAUGAACACAAAUAUUUUGAUGACCCCAAAUUUAGUUGAUGAACCCAGAUUUUUUUAUGAACACAGCUUUAGUUUUGAUGAACGCAUAUGUUUUUUUUUAUGAAUUAACCUAAUGGUGGCCACUUGUUUGUUGUUAGGUUG